GACGAACGCUGGCGGCGUGCUUAACACAUGCAGGUCGAGCGGUAAGGCCUCUUCGGGGGUACACGAGCGGCGAACGGGUGAGUAACACGUGGGUGACCUGCCCUCAGCUCUGGGAUAAGCCUGGGAAACUGGGUCUAAUACCGGAUAUGACCUUUCCUCGCAUGGGGUUUGGUGGAAAGUUUUUUCGGCUGGGGAUGGGCCCGCGGCCUAUCAGCUUGUUGGUGGGGUGAUGGCCUACCAAGGCGACGACGGGUAGCCGGCCUGAGAGGGCGACCGGCCACACUGGGACUGAGACACGGCCCAGACUCCUACGGGAGGCAGCAGUGGGGAAGAUUGCGCAAUGGGCGGAAGCCUGACGCAGCGACGCCGCGUGGGGGAUGACGGCCUUCGGGUUGUAAACCUCUUUCGACCCCGACGAAUUUGGACGGUAGGGGUAGAAGAAGCACCGGCCAACUACGUG
rnacentral:rRNA from 1 species